rnacentral:pre_miRNA from 1 species
ACAACAUUUGAGGCGUCGGUCUACCGAGCAAUUUCACCAGCUUGGUGGAAACUCUACCCUCUGUCGU